rnacentral:rRNA from 1 species
UACAUGCAAGUCAACGGCUUUUCUAUGGAAGCUUGCUUCCACUGAGAAGAUAGUGGCAACGGGUGAGUAACACUGGGGUAACCUGCCCAUAAGAGGGGGAUAACAUCCGGAAACGGGUGCUAAUACCGCAUAGUUUUUCUUGAUUGCAUGAUUGAGAAAGGAAAGACGGCCUUUGUGCUGUCGCUUUAUGGAUGGACCCGCGGCGUAUUAGUUAGUUGGUGAGGUAACGGCUCACCAAGACGAUGAUACGUAGCCGACCUGAGACGGGUGAUCGGCCACAUUGGGACUGAGACACGGCCCAAACUCCUACGGGAGGCAGCAGUAGGGAAUCUUCCGCAAUGGACGAAAGUCUGACGGAGCAACGCCGCGUGAGUGAAGAAAAGGUUUUCGGAUCGUAAAACUCUGUUGUCAGAGAAGAACAAGUUGGAGAGUAACUGCUCCAGCCUUGACGGUAUACUGACCAGAAAGCCACGGCUAACUACGUGCCAGCCGCUGC